UGAGCAAUCUGCCCUUCUCUUCGGAAUAAGCGUUGGAAACGACGUCUAAUACCGAAUACGACCUCCUUUCGCAUGAUCGGAGGUGGAAAGCUCCGGCGGAGAAGGAUGAGCUCGCGGCCUAUCAGCUAGUUGGUGUGGGUAAUGGCCCACCAAGGCGACGACGGGUAGCCGGCCUGAGAGGGUGACCGGCCACACUGGGACUGAGACACGGCCCAGACCUCCGUACGGGAGCAGCAGG
rnacentral:rRNA from 1 species